AGGAGAAGAAGAAGAAGAAGAAGAAGAAGAAGGAGAAGACCAAGGGAGGAGUAAGAAGAGAGGAGAAAGGGAGCACCUACCCAUCUAAGGUAACCAUUCGGAGUCUAUGGUUGGCUAUUUAUGGUGAUGACCUUUGGGAUGAGAAGCUAGCUAUGCACAAGGACGGAUAUAAUUGUGAUGAUUAUGCAUUCGAAGCACGUUGGGGAUGAGAGUAUCAUCUUCUCUUUUUAUUCUUUUGUUUUACAUAUUAGAUGUAGCCGUAGUGGCAUAACUAUAAUUAUGACUUCCACUAUGAAAAUCUUUUGAUAAAUAUGAUAAUUAUUAUUAGACUUCA